UAUUAAACCAAUAUAUUAUGGCGGUUCUAAUAAUUUAGAGAAACUCGCUUUAUAAUCGAUAAUACCCGUUAAUUUUCACUUAUUUUACAAAGAUUUAUAUACCGCCGUUAAAGAUUUAAUACUAACAAUUAAUAAACACAAUAUAUUCUUAUAUAAUAAAUCAGGUCAAGGUGUAAUUAAUUAAUAAGAAAAAGUAAGUUACAUUAAAAAUAAUUUAAGAAUAUAAAACAAAAAUAAUAUUGAAAGAGAAUUUAAACGUAAUUUUAUAUUAAAAAUUUGAACAGAGCUAACCAAUUAGAAUGU
rnacentral:rRNA from 1 species